rnacentral:lncRNA from 1 species
AGGUAUUUGAACUGGAUUUUCAGGAUAGGCAGGGUUGCAUCUGGUGGGAACACAAUGAGAAGGGUUCUUCCAGGGAGGGCAGAUGAAGCAAGGAAAAGGCAGGUGUGGAAAGUUCAGGGCAUAGAGAGUAAUUCUAACAAUUGUUAACACUAAUUGACCACUCUCCUAUACUAGGUAUUGUUCUAGGCCUGUGUACAAGCAUUGUCUCAUUUGCUCUUCACAACCACACUGGAAAACUAGAUGCUUCAUCAACGCCCUGAUUGGGGAAUGGAAAUCUAUAUAAGAUCAUUGAGGUGGUGCUGGAAUUACAAACUACUGAAGUUGUAUGGGAUCAUGAAGGUUAUUUCAUCAUUCAAUGCCUUCAUUUUACACAUGAGGGAACUAAAGCCCAGAAAGGUAAACGUCUUCAUCUACAAUCACAUAUUUAGUCAGUAGCAGAGGCAGACCUGGGAAAUACAGGUUUGG